UUUAUUUUAUGUAUUCAUGAGAGACACACAGAGAGAGGCAGAGACAGAGGCAGAGGGAGAAGCUGGCUCCCUGCAGGAGACCAUUGUGGAACUCGGUCCCGGGACUCCAGGAUCAUACCCUGAGUCGAAGGCAGACACCCAACCACUGAGCCACCCAGGCAUCCCAAGUAAUACAUUUGAGUUUAUGAUGAUGAGGUGACUCAACGGGGAGCCCCUAGAAAACCUCCUGAUGCGACUGGUCACUUUCAGCUUCUCCUAUCUCUGGGAAACAGAGGAGGGCUGGAGACAUAUUGUGAAGGGCCCACCAGAUAUCAUGUACUGUGUUAGGAACUGAGAUGCAGCAAAUAAAGGACAUCAUAAGGAACCGAAGGAAGGGGAUAGAUACAGACAUCGAUCAAGUUCAUGGAAUGUAACAAAGGAAAAGUUCAGGAGUAUAUAUCUAACCUAGUUAGA